GACGAACGCUGGCGGCGUGCUUAACACAUGCAAGUCGAACGGAAAGGCCCUGCUUUUGUGGGGUGCUCGAGUGGCGACCGGGUGAGUAACACGUGAGUACCCUGUACCUCCCUUUGGGAUAACUUCAUGAAGCUUGGGCUCAUCCCGGCUAGGAGCUCCUGCUGCAUGGUGGGGGCUGGAUAGUUUCGGUGGUUGGGGAUGGACUCGCGGCGUAUCAGCUUGGUGGUUGGGUAGUGGCUUACCAAGGCCUUGACGGGUAGCCGGGCUGCGCGGGCAACCGGACACAUUGGGACUGGAAUAAGGCCCAGACUACAAUGGUAGGCAGCAGUGCAGAAGAGUGCACUAUGGGCGGAAGGCUGGUGCAGCAACGCCGCGUGCGGGGUGACGGCCUGCGGGUAGUAAACCGCAGUCGCUUGAGACGAAGCGUGAGUGACGGUAAUGGGUAAAGAAGCACCGGCUAACUACGUG
rnacentral:rRNA from 1 species